CCCGAGGAGCCAGUGAUAGGGUUGUUCCUGUUUGCCACCCACACAACAGAUGGUUUUGAAACUUGAUGGAACCAAAUUCCAAGAUAUUUACUGGUAGCAUUGCCAGGGCUAAAAAACCCAAAUGCAAAAUUAUUUCCGUUGGAGACUAGAAGAUUGCCUUCUGUAAAGGAUUGGUUUAUGGGUAUGAUAUCAAGGGAGGCAGCUAAUGUGAUUUGGAAGAGUAGAAGCAAAUGCUUGAGAGAGUGUAUCUUGGAAGCCAUGAGUCAUUUUGAUUUCAAACAGGGUUCUUC
rnacentral:misc_RNA from 1 species